rfam:Yokenella regensburgei ATCC 43003 genomic scaffold Scfld10, whole genome shotgun sequence.
UUUGGCGACGUUGACCUGCUCGGAUUGCGACCAGAGUUUGCCGAUGGCUUCACGAAUGGUCGGAUGCCACAUUACGGCACGGGUGACCGCGUCGUUGAGCGUCAGCGUGCCGGGCGCAGCGGCCGCCAGUUUCAGCGAGGCGCUGCCGUCCAGUGCGGGGAGCUCCUGCUCUUCGGCGAGCCCCUGAGUGGUGAUGAACUGCGGUGCGUCUUCGGCGUAGACCUGGGCUGAACACAGGCAACACGCCAGCCACCAGGCCACGGGCUGUAAUUUUCCCAUAUUUUGUCCCUAAUAAAGCAAAUCUGACGUUUACGCCCCGGACGUACGUGCGUCCGGGGCUGUAGG